rnacentral:rRNA from 1 species
CGGACGGGUGAGUAAUGAAUCGCUAACGUACCCCAGAGUCUGGGAUAGCCGGCCGAAAGGCCGGGUAAUACCAGAUUAAAUGACCCUUGGGCAUCCUCGGGUCCUCAAAGUAGCAAUACGCUUUGGGAGCGGGCGAUUUCGUAUCAGCUAGUUGGUGGGGUAACGGCCCACCAAGGCGACGACGCGUAGCCGGACUGAGAGGUUGGCCGGCCACAUUGGGACUGAGACACUGCCCAG